rnacentral:lncRNA from 1 species
CUUUAAGGAAGUUCAGCGUUAAACAUGAAACUCAACUCAGCUUAUCUUUGCUUUUCCCACUUAUGCUAAAAUGGGAGAGGAAGGAUCAGGUAUGGUGGCCAGAGAAACACAAAUACAGUGGGGGCUUGUUAUCAUUUUCAGGAGCUGACAACACAAUAUUCAGUCUUUAGAACCGACGCUCUGUGAAUAUAUAGCACCUGGCUCUUGAUGGUCUGAUUCCAUCAACUUGCUAUACGUGCCUCAGGAAGGUAAAGAUGCACAAUCCUUUACCCCAAACACAAAUUCUAUGUGAGCUCUAGGAAUUGUUCAGCGUACAGCUCCGCCAUCACCUGGUGGUUUUCUGCCCAGCUUCAUGGAGUUUUAGCCUAGGCCUGCACAGUUUAGUAUCCAACAACAGACUCAAAGACCUCAGUGCAGAAAUGUGGAGGUCUUUCUCCACAGAGCGUUCUCCUGCCUCACUGGUGGUCAGCCCUGCACAUUCCAGCCAUCUCUGCAUCCCUGAACUCCAGCCUCUACCUCCCCAACUCAGUAGGAAUGAAGUGCUCUGUUUGGGUUCUUGCUACGUGGACCAUUGUCAGACUUCACUUCCCAUGGUAGAAGCAAAGAGGAGGCGCUCAGCUCUGAAAAGAAAAACGGGGGAACGUCACAAUGAAGAGGAAGCCCCUUUUUCUGUCCCUGGAUACAGUUGCAUCACAUAAUGACAGGGAUAUGUUCUAAGAUAAGUGACCUCAGACAUCUGAAGAAGGCUGGAUAAGAUCAGAGAUGAAUCAUGAGGCCUGGCCUCCAAAAAAAGUCAGAAGCACACACUGGAUGAGAAUGAAGGAACUCGUGGAAACAAAUGGAUCUCAAAGAUUUAAUGCAGCCAGGUCAUGUUCACUCUUGUCAACUUGAGUUGUGCAACACAGUUUAUCUUUUUUAAAUUUUCAUAGUAGUAUAUAAAGGAAUACAAAACAAAGCCACAAAAAUUACAGCUCCUUAUAAUAAUAAUAAAAAUAAAUUUGUAGAUAGAAAUUUAAGGAGUUUACUAAUAGUGCUAAGAAUUCUUAAAUGUACUUCUCUGAGGUUGACAAACUUAUGCAACAAAUCAAAAGAGCAGCAGUUUUUUUUUUUCCUCCUAGGAAUUAAUCCUCUAGUUAGUAGACUCC